rnacentral:rRNA from 1 species
CCUACGGGAGGCAGCAGUGGGGAAUUUUGGACAAUGGGCGCAAGCCUGAUCCAGCCAUGCCGCGUGUGGGAAGAAGGCCUUCGGGUUGUAAACCACUUUUGUCAGGGAAGAAACGGCUCUUACUAAUAUUAGGGGCUAAUGACGGUACCUGAAGAAUAAGCACCGGCUAACUACGUGCCAGCAGCCGCGGUAAUACGUAGGGUGCAAGCGUUAAUCGGAAUUACUGGGCGUAAAGCGUGCGCAGGCGGCUUUGCAAGACAGAUGUGAAAUCCCCGGGCUCAACCUGGGAACUGCAUUUGUGACUGCAUGGCUAGAGUACGGUAGAGGGGGAUGGAAUUCCGCGUGUAGCAGUGAAAUGCGUAGAUAUGCGGAGGAACACCGAUGGCGAAGGCAAUCCCCUGGACCUGUACUGACGCUCAUGCACGAAAGCGUGGGGAGCAAACAGGAUUAGAUACCCUGGUAGUCCACGCCCUAAACGAUGUCAACUGGUUGUUGGACGGCUUGCUGUUCAGUAACGAAGCUAACGCGUGAAGUUGACCGCCUGGGGAGUACGGCCGCAAGGUUGAAACUCGAAAGGAAUUGACGG